GUCAAAUCACUGGAAAACAUUGGUUCCCAUUUGAUCACUGUAGUUAAGCAGUGUCAAACCAGGUCAGUACUUAGAUGGGCAGCUGCUUGGGAACACCAUGUACUGUAAU